GAGGGAUGGUAUCGGAUAUCGA
rnacentral:snRNA from 1 species